rnacentral:rRNA from 1 species
GAUAGAGGCCUACCAUGGUGGUAACGGGUAACGGGGUGUUAGGGCACGACACCGGAGAGGGAGCCUGAGAAACGGCUACCACAUCCAAGGAUGGCAGCAGGCGCGCAAAUUACCCAAUCCCGACACGGGGAGGUAGUGACAAUAAAUAACAAUACGGGGUUCUUUCGGAUCUCGUAAUUGGAAUGAGUACAAUUUAAAUCUCUUAACGAGGAACAAUUGGAGGGCAAGUCUGGUGCCAGCAGCCGCGGUAAUUCCAGCUCCAAUAGCGUAUAUUAAAGUUGUUGCAGUUAAAAAGCNNNUAGUUGAAUUUCGGGGUUAGUAGGUUGGUCAUGCCUCUGGUAUGUACUGGUCUCACUGAUUCCUCCUUCCUUAUGAACCGUAAUGCCAUUAAUUUGGUGUUGCGGGGAAUUUGGACUGUUACUUUGAAAAAAUUAGAGUGUUUAAAGCAAGCUAACGCUUGAAUACAUUAGCAUGGAAUAAUGAAAUAGGACGUUCGAUCUUAUUUUGUUGGUUUCUAGGAUUGACGUAAUGAUUAAUAGGGAUAGUUGGGGGCAUUAGUAUUCAAUUGUCAGAGGUGAAAUUCUUGGAUUUAUUGAAGACUAACUACUGCGAAAGCAUUUGCCAAGGAUGUUUUCAUUAAUCAAGAACGAAAGUUAGGGGAUCGAAGACGAUCAGAUACCGUCGUAGUCUUAACCAUAAACUAUGCCGACUAGGGAU